UACGUAGGGUGCAAGCGUUAAUCGGAAUUACUGCGCGUAAAGCGUGCGCAGGCGGUUUUGUAAGUCAGAUGUGAAAUCCCCGGGCUUAACCUGGGAACUGCGUUUGAAACUACAAAGCUAGAGUGUGGCAGAGGGGGGUGGAAUUCCACGUGUAGCAGUGAAAUGCGUAGAGAUGUGGAGGAACACCGAUGGCGAAGGCAGCCCCCUGGGUUAACACUGACGCUCAGGCACGAAAGCGUGGAGAGCAAACAGG
rnacentral:rRNA from 1 species